CCUACGGGAGGCAGCAGUGGGGAAUUUUGGACAAUGGGCGCAAGCCUGAUCCAGCAAUGCCGCGUGAGUGAAGAAGGCCUUCGGGUUGUAAAGCUCUUUUGUCAGGGAAGAAACGGUGGGAGCUAAUAUCUCCUGCUAAUGACGGUACCUGAAGAAUAAGCACCGGCUAACUACGUGCCAGCAGCCGCGGUAAUACGUAGGGUGCAAGCGUUAAUCGGAAUUACUGGGCGUAAAGCGUGCGCAGGCGGUUUUGUAAGACUGUCGUGAAAUCCCCGGGCUCAACCUGGGAAUGGCGAUGGUGACUGCAAGGCUAGAGUUUGGCAGAGGGGGGUAGAAUUCCACGUGUAGCAGUGAAAUGCGUAGAUAUGUGGAGGAACACCGAUGGCGAAGGCAGCCCCCUGGGUCAAAACUGACGCUCAUGCACGAAAGCGUGGGGAGCAAACAGGAUUAGAUACCCUGGUAGUCCACGCCCUAAACGAUGUACUACUAGUUGUCGGGUCUUAAUUGACUUGGUAACGCAGCUAACGCGUGAAGUAGACCGCCUGGGGAGUACGGUCGCAAGAUUAAAACGCAAAAGGGAUUGACG
rnacentral:rRNA from 1 species